AGUGCAAAGGAAGUAGAGGAUGGAAAGC
rnacentral:piRNA from 1 species